CCUACGGGAGGCAGCAGUGGGGAAUAUUGGACAAUGGGGGGAACCCUGAUCCAGCGACGCCGCGUGAGUGAAGAAGUAUUUCGGUAUGUAAAGCUCUAUCAGCAGGGAAGAAAAUGACGGUACCUGACUAAGAAGCCCCGGCUAACUACGUGCCAGCAGCCGCGGGAAUACGUAGGGGGCAAGCGUUAUUCGGAUUUACUGGGUGUAAAGGGAGCGUAGACGGUGUAGCAAGUCUGAUGUGAAAGGGCGGGGGCCAACCCCGGGCGUGCAUUGGAAACUGUUGAACUGGAGUACAGGAGAGGUAAGCGGAAUGCGCGGUGUAGCGGUGAAAUGCGUAGAUAUUAGGAGGAACACCAGUGGCGAAGGCGGCUUACUGGACUGUAACUGACGUUGAGGCUCGAAAGCGUGGGGAGCGAACAGGAUUAGAUACCCUAGUAGUC
rnacentral:rRNA from 1 species